AAACAGUGCACAGUAGCGUAUUAGUGGAGUAGGGGUCGAGCCUGGUAAAGACAGAAACACAGGGGAAAAAAGACAAACGGCAGUGUCGAAUAAUAAUAACAUUAUGUAGAGUGUAACUCGACUUAAUAAAAAGAGCGGACAUGGCAACCUAGGUGUCAUGUGUCCUGUUACGUUUAUGUCGUUUAUAAUUUGCCCUCCCAUUCGAAUUUGACGCGCUUUCACAGUACAGUAGGGGUUUAGGUUUAGGGGUUUAGGUUUUGCGCACGCUGACGCGAGAAGUUUGCUUGUACCUGUCGCCUAUGUAAAUACGGUUUAUAAAGGAUAUAUUAACACACUGAUGGCGACACCAAAUACUAAUAGUAUGGAAACCAGCACCAGAGGUAGCAUUUUUGAGUGUAUCUGGAGGCCAUUGCUUAGAGUCUGGAGACGUCUGUGCUGCCAUGUUGGACCUGAUGAGCCUGCAAUAAAACUUUCAGCGGAAGAAACGUCACCACUCAAUGGCCAAAGCUCUGUCCGUCCAUGGUGAAGAUCCUGAAGUUGUUUUCUUCACACAGAUCAUUUUUGAUGAAUUGAUGACCAGCAGAAUUUUUGGACCUACAUUUGGAGCCAAGUUUAAAGACUGAGAAGAUUGAUGUACUUCCCCUCAAAUCUGCCUGACGUGUCCGUCCCACCGACAUACUGACAAAAUGUGAUGUGUUCUGGACAAGGUACUUUAUUACUACUGUGCACUCAGGAGAACCAUGCAGAAGCUUUUCAGGGACCGACCUUUGGCUUCAAACCUCUGGACAGCAUGAUCUUCCUUUUUGCCAAAGUGACAAAGACAGUGUUCCCUUUUGGAUCACCUUGAAUGUCCAGAACAUUGUAUGAGCCAAGAGGGGUUUGAUCUAGUGCACCAAACAGUUGGUUUAGGUCAAUGGAAGCUGGCAUUGGAUCAUCAGUCCCUCAACUUGAAGAUAAUGAAGCACUGUACCAGUGAAGUGUCCUUAAGAUUUAGACAGGUACUGUUGUUUUAAGUGUUAACAGUUUUAAUGAGCUUAUGCACACAUCGAUGUGUGAAUGCUUUCAUACAGAAAUCAUGAUUUAUCCAUGAGUUCAUAUUAACAUGGUCACGUACACACUGUAAGUUUCAGGAGUGACAACCGCAUUUAAAUGCGGGAGUGAAUCACCUAAAUUAUCAUUACAUGUGUGUACGAAACACAACUCACUCUCGAAACUUCGAUGAUUGACAGCUCGGAAACCAUAGCGACUUUCUGGCGUCUCGUUUGGUAUCCGUUACUGUGACCAAAGUAAUAUUACAGUGACAAAACACCCGUUAUUUCCAGCAAUUUAACUAAACAGUUGUGUCGUCGUGUUUUGUUUAUGCUUGUACAGCCUGUUUCACACAGAGCGCACUCCUUCUUUGUUGCCAUGGUCACUCAUUUUAAGCGUUUUUGGGCUUGUUGUUUAAGCUCGUCUCAUAGAACGGAUAGGUGUACGGGUAGCGAACGGGUUUAUGGAGUUAUUAAAGUAAGCAGACACGAGUCGCAGUAUUUUGUUCUUAUUUUCAGCAUAAAGCAUUUGGAUUUAUUUCGUUUUAUUAUGGGCUUAUUCUUGUUCGCUGAUUUUUCUAGCAAAAUCUGGCAACACGAAUGAGUCAAGGCUCGUGCUUUCCCUGUGAUUCACCGUGCAUAGAGAGACACAUCUCCGAUGCACGUUAAAAAAACGUCAUUAACAACUAGUUGUUCAGUUUGGUUCCGUACACACACAGCGUGGAGUUUCUGUAAAUGCGGUUGUAGAUGCGGAGUUAAUACAGUUGUAGAAUGCGGUUGUCACUCCCAUAUUUUACUGAACUGUGUGUGUACAGAACACGAUUAAGCACUAAAAGGUGAACUGACAACCGAAUUUAGCUGCAGUGUGUACGUGGCCUAUUUUUAGUCGAAUUAGAAAACAUUUACAUCACCUGAGAUCACUCAGAUAUUUGGUUUGUGUGCUCAUGUGAGAAUGCACCUCUAGAGAUCGAGGAAAUGUUAUGUAAAUUAUUCCCUGCAGACACACAUUCUCCCAUUCAGAAUAAUCCACAUUAAUCAUCAUAAGAACAAAUACUGUUGGGCUACAUUGCUCAUCUCUUAAAGGGAUAAUUCACCCAAAAAUGAAAAUUCUGUCAUUUACCUUUUGUGUGUUGUGUGUGUGGAACAUGCAUAAAAAAACUAUAUUUUACCAUUUUGGUUAUCACUGACUCACUGUAUGGACCAAAAAACAUUUACAUUUCUCAAAAUAUACAGAAGAAAGUCAUACAGGUUUGUAAUGACAUGAGGGUGAGAAUGUGACAGAAUUUUGGCUGAACUGUCCCUUUAAGCAGAGGGUCGUCACAUGAGCAUGACCGUUUACAUUCUGUCUCAGGAUUGGAAAUGUAAUUUAUAAUACGUGGAGAUAAAAUCAUGUAGAUGAUAUGAAGAGCUCUUGACAUUUUGUGCCUUUUUGAUUAUGAAGAUAUCAGUCUUGCUCUGAAUCCUGCCUUCAGCGGGAUUUUAAGGGAAUCCCCAAACACCCCAAGUUCCAAGAGGCAUGUGAUUUCCUCAGUGUUGCAACAAUCACUAGCACAUUACGCAAGUAUUGAAAGAAGGCAUGCGGGUUGGACACGACUAGGUGUUUUGAUUUCUCAAGGAGUGCCUACACUGGAAGUUUGUGACUGACUAAAUUGCUUCCAUUAAAACCAACAAAGCUGUCUGCACUCACUACAAAUGAGCAAUACUGCAUGCUCAGUUGCUCACAGUGUCACAGUGGACAACUCGUUCAGCUUUUAUUUAUUUUGGUUUUUAUUCAUUCAUUGUGUUUUUUUUUUAUUUAUUUAUUUUUUUUAAUAAAACACUUUUGCACUUUUGCAGUAGGAAUAGUGGCUGACUGAAAUCUGGCCUCUGUCUGACAUCUGUCAUCUAUUUAACACAGUUUCACCUACAGCUUGUCCAGGAUGCUGUCUAUCCUAAAGCAGGGUUUCUUAACUGAUCAAAUUCAUAACUAGUUCAGGUGGGAUUGAGAGAACCCUAUUCUAAAGGUUCUUGCUGGUGUAAUGGAGGACCUUGUGUUGGAUUCAUGGCUUUAGAUCUAUAUUGUUAGCACUUAUCCUUUGCUUAAACUUAAGCUUGAUUGUGCCUUCUUUUGCUUGUUUAACUUGUGCUUAACAUAAGUUUUAGAUUAAGGUAAUGUCUUAAAUAUAUUUAGCAACUUCAUAAUAUAAGUAAACAUAAGUAUAUUAUUUAUCCAAAAAAAUGCAUAAAUACUGUGAUUUUUAUUUUUUUAUUUUUUUUAUUUUUGUAUUGUAUGUGGUAUAGUGAUAUCACACACAGCCUCAAUGUGUUGUUUAUUUUGAACAAUAAAGUUAAAUUAUCAAAAUCCA